AUGUGGAACCGCAAGGUCGAUUCCCACGGUGUUGCGAAAUGGGUGCUGCACAAGAGCGUUAACAUGGACCUCAUCCUUGAUCUGCCGUCAUCGAUGCAGGGAUGGAACUCGUGUGUUUUGGGGUAUGCCGAGGAUGCUAAUGCGAUUCUUAUAUCGGUGGACAGCGGGAGGUACACCUGUGUCUUUACGGUUCAACUUGAGUCAAUGCAAUGCAAGCAACUUGAUGUAGAAUUUCAGAGGGAGUAUUCGUAUUCAUAUCAUCCAUUCGACAGUGUCUAUACUGCAGGCCCGUCGACGCAACUGAACAAUGGUGAGGGCGCUGGUGUAGCAGAAACGUAA
rnacentral:rRNA from 1 species